CGAGAGUCUGCUGGGGGGAAGCAAGUGGUAUUUCAGACAAAGGAAUUUUGCACAGAAAGGCAUAACCGAGUCUCAGCUAAAGGCUCUCUCUCAGGUCGGUAGCCAUGGACCGGGCAGGUCAGACUGCUGGAGACGCCGAAGCCUUUCUGACUGGCAGCAAGCUGCAGCUCACCCUCCUGCUCAGACAGGCCGGGCACCCCGGGGCAGGCCAGGAGCCUCAAGAGACUCCAGAAGGGAGCUGCACUGACCUCACAUCGUGUGUUUGAGGAGAAAGCCCCACUGCUCCACAGUUUCACAGGAUGAAAAAACCAUUACAGUGGGCGAGUUCACAGAGCAUAACAUCUGCUUGUCAUCCCAGGGACAAGUGAGGCAAGGAAAAAGCGAGAAAAAAAAGAGCCAUAAGUGCAGAAGGCGGGGAUGACCCAUAAGCAGCCCAGAUGAAAAAAAAGAAGGAAGCCACCCUGUCUAGCACUCCUCGUCAGAACCUCUUUCGCAGAUGACCUGUCACCAAUCCGAUGCCAAUUACUCAUGCAGAAGUUAGCUAAGUAACAUAAAGUCAGCUUCCUGAACAUAGUUUUUCCAGAGUUUGCCUUACUGCUCAGCUUUCCAUGAUUCUUCUGUAUUUUCCUCUCUUACUUCACUUGAGAAACUGUAAGACCUCAGUCUUUGUAACUGCCGAGUCUGCUGUCUGCACACCAAUAAUCUACCUGAAGUUUGCAGGAAAGAAAUGCCCACUUUUCAGGGAAAUUUUUGGUUUUCUCAACUGUUUUCUCAGAGCAGUUUUCUCAGCUGAAAAUAGCUAGUAGGAUUCACUUAUUUCACUUUUCUUUUUCGUUGCUUUCUAAUUACUCAAUAUGCACAUCUUUGUUCAUCCUAUAACAUUUCUUCAAGGAAGGGAGAAAAAGUGUGACAGUGAUUCAUUCGUGCAGAGCAAAUUUUGUUUGGAACCUUCAGUUAUCUGUUGGGAAAAGAAUUAAAUAAAAACCAAAAAGGGAAAAAAUCAAAAUGAGGAAUAAAAAUCCUCCAAAGACUUUCUCCUCCCUCAGAAUAAGGUGGUUGACUUUCAUUUUAUUACUGUGCUCUAAUGACUUCUGCAGAUUUAUGCUAGUGUAAGAAAGAUAUUAAUUAACCCCAAAGAUUUAUUUUUCUCUGGAAGAAUUCAAUGUUUGGCUUUAUUCCAAAAAUGAUAGGGCACUUCUGUGUGAUAAUCAAAAAGAGGCUGUAUUCAUCCCAUCUACAGGCACUUAACAGAGAGCUAAGAAGAAUUUAUAACCUGCCCAUGUUGCAGUGGUAAGAGAGGGACCCUUCAAGGGGUGACUGGGCUCACAGGAGAGCAAAGUCACCCUUCAGAAGCGUCUCUCUUCCCAGUAGCUGCUGGGAGGGCCAUGGGCAACUGAGACUUUUGCAUCAAAGCCUUCGUUAAAUGCUUGAAGUGGCAGCGCUUAGCAGAAGUCAGGGUGUCCCCAAAACAAUGGUCAAAUGGUCAGAGAAGGCUUGUGUAAAGGUGGGGGCAUCGUGGGUGGGGAGAAUACGAUCCUUCUAAAUAAGAGCUUGUGGAAAGGUGGCAGCAGACCAGUCAGUCCAGAGGCACAGAGCGGGGAGGACAGGUGCAAUACUGGCU